UCAUAUUUUAUCGGAUGUCGAAGGUGGAGAAUUAGAAUAAGGGAACAAAAGGGAGUGUAACAAACUGAUGUCCGAGUCAGUUUUGCGAAGAAAAAGAUCGUAUAGCAUAAGAUGGAAUCGGUGGUUAGAUUAAAAUACCUAUCAUCAUCAGGAAUAAGAUAUCAAUGAUGCGUUGGGUGGAUGUGAGUUACAAUUAUUAUAAGGAUCGGCGGCUGGCGCAUUAUUGGCAUCCUUCUCCUCCUCAUCAUUUUUGCAUGUAGAUAUAUGUGUAGUAUAUAGAGUGGUGAGAGGGUCCCACUAGGGUUUAGAAUGUUUUGAAAUAUGUACUUGAUAAAUGUUGGUAUUCGAAAUUGUAUAAUGUGUGUUUUCUUUA